AAAUAUUAUGCUUAAAAUUUAAGGAUCAAAAUGAAACUGUUGGAUUUGACUUACAUGUGAAAUUAAUUCUGCCUGUUGGAUUAUUAUAUUAUUAUUUAACUGUUAUAGCUGAAACUGUAAAGCAGGUUUAACUAUAGUAAAUAGAACUGCAUCUAAAUACAAUUUACCUAGACAAACCUUUUAUACAAUUUACCUCUACUUAUACCUUUUAAACAAAAAGCAUAAUAUAUAUUUUUUUAUAUGGGAGGUAAUUUCACUAUCUUAUAUAUAAAGUAAUGAAAUUUAUAAAUAUAAUUGUUAAAUAUUUACCACCAAAUAAAUAUUUAUAGUUACAAUGUUUUAUAUUACAACAAAUCAAGUAAAAUGCAUACAACUAUAAUUAUUGUGUUUAUAAUUGCAUGCAUAUUAACUAUACUAUAUUUACAAUUAUAAUCAGCCAAACAGCUCAUAAGGUCAUAUUUAUAUGUCUGACUAAGUUAUCCAGUAAUAAUUUGUUUAGUACGAAAUUUUCUAUUGUGAUUAGAAAUUAUGAGUUUAUUUUUAUUUCUUCAAAAGUUUCGAUCGGCAUCUACAAUUUCGAACGACAAAACAUUUUACCUAUAAAAUAACUUCCUGUAUUCAAAAAAAUAAUUUGAAGGCCGAAUAUAAUAUGUCUUGUUAUGGAUGUAACUAUACUCCUCAAAUACUACAAGUUUAUCGAAUAAUAUGCUAGCGCAAGUGACAAAAGGGUUUGAUGGUUGUUAUCCGAGACCCAAGUUCGAAUCCUAGUUGAUUCACAUUUCCAGCUAAGUUUAUUUCUAAAUAAAAUAAACGAAAGAGAUAGCGUACUACCUAUCUCUCAAAAUAAAUAAAUAAAUAAAUAAAUAUGUGCACGUAUCUUAAC
rnacentral:lncRNA from 1 species